CGCUGAAUUUAAGCAUAUUACUAAGCGGAGGAAAAGAAACUAACCAGGAUUCCCUCAGUAACGGCGAGUGAAGCGGGAAGAGCCCAGCACCGAAUCCCCCGGCCGCGAGGGCGGAGGGACCUGUGGUGUUAGGGACGUCCGUCGCGCGUUGGUGCCUGCGCCCGAGUCCUCCUGAUAGGGGCUCCACCCAGGGCGGGUGUCAGGCCUCUACGGCGCGGGCCCGGCGUGCCGCGGGCGUCCUCGGAGUCGGGUUGUUUGGGAAUGCAGCCCAAAAGCGGG
rnacentral:rRNA from 1 species